UUUUAUAUUUGUUUUUUAAUUUUUGUAUGUGUUGAACCACUCGAACCUUGAAACAUCCAUUUCAGAUGUACUUUUUGCUAAUACAAGAAUGUCAUACAUAGCAAUGAACAAGAAUUUGCAAAACUGUUACAUUUGUUUGGUGCUGGCGGUCAAUUUCGUGAUCUAUGGGUUCCAAACCCCGCAAAUUUUGUGUUUCUGUCGAUGCAUUUGUGUUGUGAAUAUGCACGAAUAUCAUUGCUGUUCAUGGUCAGUUAUUAUCCUGCUAAAAAGUAUUCAUUCGACGCGCAAUCAUCAAUCAAUCGAAUUUCCAAAAAAAUACCCAUGUGUGUUCUGCUCCAGCCUUUAGGACAUGGUUUUUAGCAUCAUGAUGCGUCCACUGUGAAAUCUUAAAACCUACUGUACUAGGACAGUGGGUG
rnacentral:lncRNA from 1 species